rnacentral:rRNA from 1 species
GAUGAACGCUGGCGGCGUGCCUAAUACAUGCAAGUCGAGCGAACAGACGAGGAGCUUGCUCCUCUGACGUUAGCGGCGGACGGGUGAGUAACACGUGGAUAACCUACCUAUAAGACUGGGAUAACUUCGGGAAACCGGAGCUAAUACCGGAUAAUAUAUUGAACCGCAUGGUUCAAUAGUGAAAGACGGUUUUGCUGUCACUUAUAGAUGGAUCCGCGCCGCAUUAGCUAGUUGGUAAGGUAACGGCUUACCAAGGCAACGAUGCGUAGCCGACCUGAGAGGGGGAUCGGCCACACUGGAACUGAGACACGGUCCAGACCCCUACGGGAGGCAGCAGUAGGGAAUCUUCCGCAAUGGGCGAAAGCCUGACGGAGCAACGCCGCGUGAGUGAUGAAGGUCUUCGGAUCGUAAAACUCUGUUAUUAGGGAAGAACAAAUGUGUAAGUAACUAUGCACGUCUUGACGGUACCUAAUCAGAAAGCCACGGCUAACUACGUG